CAACUGCCCUAUGGACCGGGAUACCCUCGGGAAACUGAGGUUAAUCCCGGAUACGACUCCCACGCUGGAAUGCGGGGAGCCGGAAACGGUCCGCCGCCGUAGGAUGUGACUGCGGCCGAUUAGGUAGACGGUGGGGUAACGGCCUACCGUGCCGAUAAUCGGUACGGGUCGUGGAAGCGAGCGCCCGGAGACGGACUCUGAGACAAGAGUCCGGGCCCUACGGGGCGCAGCAGGCGCGAAACCUUUACACUGCGCGGAAGCGCGAUAAGGGAACUCCGAGUGCGAGGGCAUAUCGUCCUCGCUUUUCACCACUGUAGGGUGGUGGUGGAACAAGGGCUGGGCAAGACCGGUGCCAGCCGCCGCGGUAAUACCGGCAGCCCAAGUGAUGGCCAAUUUUAUUGGGCCUAAAGCGUCCGUAGCCGGCCGGGCAAGUCCGUCGGGAAAUCCGCGUGCUCAACGCGCGGGCGUCCGGCGGAAACUGCUCGGCUUGGGACCGGAAGACCCGAGGGGUACGUCCGGGGUAGGAGUGAAAUCCCGUAAUCCUGGACGGACCGCCGGUGGCGAAAGCGCCUCGGGAAGACGGAUCCGACGGUCAGGGACGAAAGCUGGGGUCUCGAACCGGAUUAGAUACCCGGGUAGUCCCAGCUGUAAACGAUGCCCGUUAGGUGUGGCGCAGGCUACGAGCUUGCGCUGUGCC
rnacentral:rRNA from 1 species